rnacentral:lncRNA from 1 species
GCUCCAGUGGAAGAGGCAGUUGAGGAGGCUGAUCCAGUGGAAGAGCCAGUGGAAGAAGCAGCUCCAGUUGAGGAGGCAGCUCCAGUGGAAGAGGCUGCUCCAGUGGAAGAGGCAGUUGAAGAGGCUGCUCCAGUGGAAGAGGCAGUUGAAGAGGCUGCUCCAGUGGAAGAGGCAGUUGAGGAGUCUGCUCCAGUGGAAGAACCUGUUGAAGAGCCUGUCCAGGUGGAGGAGCCAGUUGAAGAGCCUGUCCAGGUGGAGGAGCCAGUUGAAGAGCCUGUCCAGGUGGAGGAGUCGGUUGAAGAAGUGGUUGACGAGGCUGCUCCUGUUGAAGAAGUAAUUGAGGAGGAAGCCCCUGUAGAGGAAGAGGUCGAAGAGGCAGCCCCUGUUGAAGAGGCAGUAGAAGUGGAGGCAGCUCCUGAAGAACCUGUAGAGGAGGCUGAAACAGAACAGGAUGAAGCCUUUCACGAAGAACAGGCAGAGGAAGAGCCAGAAUCAGACAUAGCAGAAGAAAAUGAAGAAACACAGGAAACAGAGGUCACAGAUUCAGAAACGACAGAAGAAACAGAUGUAGACACAGAAUCACCCAGUCAGUAUGAAGAUGAGGUAGCUGCUGAGGAGGAACUCCCAGAAGAGGAAGUCACAGAAACGUAAAGGAUGCGAGGCUGCGAGUCAGAGGCAGAGAGAAGCAGCCGCACGGCAUUCCACUACGAGUGAGCAGCUCGGUGUUUCCACGUGGAGUAAAAAAAAAAAGGAUAAAACUAGCAUUUUUUUAUUUUUGUUUUGAGGGUUUUUCUGUUUUUGUUUGUUCCAUUUAGACACUCGGAUAUUUUGAAUGACAUCAUGUGGUGUGUUGUGUAUAUGCGAAGUACACAUUUUUAAAACGG